rnacentral:sRNA from 1 species
ACAGAGUUCAUUUUUAAUUUUGUUUUGUCAGUCUGUGAAAGUAAUUCAACAGAGUCAUGAUAAUGUACAUAGUUAAUGAAGUUAAUUUAUAUUUAGCUUGGGUAUAAAUCACAUAGUAAAUUAUAAAUGAUAUUUUGAGAAACAUAUUACAGACAAUUCAAUGGCAGAUUUUUGCAUAAAAAUUAACAAGUUGAUUCUAUCUUUCUCCAUAACCACUAUUCAUAAGUUGAAAAAAUGUAGUUUUAAUGAAAAUGUAUUAAAAACUUAGCAACUGCUCUCAUUCUAUAGAAAAUGAAGCCACGGCUGGGUGCAAUUCUGGACCUCAUUGGAUAUCUCAGACUUGGAAUGCAGGAAAUUUAAAGCUGUUCUAAAGUGGAUCUUGAAUAAGACUCUGAGACUUCUGUGUG